rnacentral:rRNA from 2 species
CCUACGGGGGGCUGCAGUGGGGGAUAUUGCGCAAUGGGGGAAACCCUGACGCAGCAACGCCGCGUGAAGGAAGAAGGCCUUCGGGUCGUAAACUUUUGUCCUCAGGGAAGAAGAACUGACGGUACCUGAGGAGGAAGCCACGGCUAACUACGUGCCAGCAGCCGCGGUAAUACGUAGGUGGCGAGCGUUGUCCGGAUUUACUGGGUGUAAAGGGCGUGUAGGCGGGAUGGCAAGUCAGGUGUGAAAUACCAAGGCUUAACCUUGGGGGUGCACUUGAAACUGCUGUUCUUGAGUGUCGGAGAGGAAAGCGGAAUUCCUAGUGUAGCGGUGAAAUGCGUAGAUAUUAGGAGGAACACCAGUGGCGAAGGCGGCUUUCUGGACGAUAACUGACGCUGAGGCGCGAAAGCGUGGGGAGCAAACAGGAUUAGAUACCCGAGUAGUC